CCUAUAACAGUCGUACAUAAUCGUUGUUAAUACGAAGACAUGUGAGAACGAGUAGCCUGGUGAUGAAAGGUGUUGUGUGUGCGACUACAACGCUGUGAGUUCGAUUUGGGGAUUUGGUGGUGAGGUAUGCCUUUGAGUAAUGGCACUUCAGACAGUUUAAAAUGCAUGUAUAUUUCGGAUGUAUACAUAUAAGAUCAUUUGACUGCGGCCAUGCUGGAGCACCACCUUAAUGUCAUCGACAUCGGUCGCUACUACGCUACCGCCGGGUGGAGAAAGGGUACUUAAUUUAUCGACACAGAAAGGGUGAAAGACCUCGGCGGAAUUUGAAAUCAGAAGGUAAAGACAAACGAAAUACCGCUAAGCAUUUCGCCCGGUGUGCUAACGAUUUCGCCAGCUCGUCGUCUUCACUCAAUCUGGAUAGGCUAAGGAUUUUAGAAAAAGAAGUCAACCAGUUGACUCGAACAUUACAAAUACAAUCAGUAAGCGGAACAGUAAAGAUCGAGCAGAGUGAUGAAAACAAGAUGGUGUCUUCACAGUAAAACAAGGAGAACAUUUGAUAUUAGAACGACAACAAAAUAUCAUCUAAUGGAUAACUUAUCUCGUGACAAAACGGGUUUGUCUUAUCUUUCAAAUUAACACUCAGAUAAGCACCACUUUAGG